rnacentral:rRNA from 1 species
UACGUAGGGUGCGAGCGUUGUCCGGAAUUAUUGGGCGUAAAGGGCUCGUAGGCGGUCUGUUGCGUCAGGAGUGAAAACUCGGGGCUUAACCCCGAGCCUGCUUCUGAUACGGGCAGACUAGAGGUAUGCAGGGGAGAACGGAAUUCCUGGUGUAGCGGUGAAAUGCGCAGAUAUCAGGAGGAACACCAAUAGCGAAGGCAGCUCGCUGGGACGGUAUUGACGCUAAGGCGCGAAAGCGUGGGGAGCAAACAGG